rnacentral:rRNA from 1 species
UACGGGGGGGGCAAGCGUUGUUCGGAAUUACUGGGCGUAAAGGGUUUGUAGGUGGCCGGCUAAGUCAGACGUGAAAUCCCUCGGCUUAACCGGGGAACUGCGUCUGAUACUGGAUGGCUUGAGUUUGGGAGAGGGACGCGGAAUUCCAGGUGUAGCGGUGAAAUGCGUAGAUAUCUGGAGGAACACCGGUGGCGAAGGCGGCGUCCUGGACCAACACUGACACUGAGGAGCGAAAGCCAGGGGAGCAAACGGG